AGCGGCUGGUCGAUCACCAUUUUGUUCUUUGUUCUGUUGUCGCUGGGAGAGUCUGCGCCCGUAGGCAAUUGUAUUCCACGGGGAUGUGGAAACCCGCGUGGGGUUGUCUGGUCCUGCGGUGCGUCUUUUGCAAGAGCGUAACCGCUUCUUGAGUUCCAAGUUAACUGAACUGCGGGCGUAGACAUUGACUUAACCUCUCCCGGAAUCUAGUAUGGUGCACUAGCCUGUCCAUCUUCCUGCUGUUGCCGUUGCUGCUGUCUAUAUAGGCAAUGUGCCUCACCCCUUGUGGUAGCCGGUGAUCUCCGAGGGUAGGCGCAUUGCUCUUGACGCGCUGCUGUUUUUGUUCUGUAGAGAUAUAGCGAGUGAAUGCGUGAGUGUGGAGAGUGAGAUGAAACGGUGGAUGUGAUGCGCGUGUUGGCGCGCCAUGGACUAUAAAUGGACUGAGUGUAUGCGUGUGUUUGCGAUGUGCAUUUAAUCUACUUCCGAUUAUAUUCUGGGUGUUUUAUUUUAUGUUAAUUCUUUUUGUGUCGACGGACGGGUACAUCCCACUCCGUGAUUGAGCCAGUAGUGCCUGGACCUCCUGAUGCGCACAGUAGCUUCACGUUUGUAGUGCCUAGGGCCUUAUGCCGAGUGUAAAUCCGUGUGCUGUGUUUAAUGAUUUCAUUCUAUGCAUGCUUAUUCAACUAGAUGUGCUUGCUGUGCAAAUUGUCUGUUGCAUUGUAAUUAUCCGAAGCUACAUAGGCUAAAGAAGGGGGAACCCAGUAGCCAUUCAUGCUCUUCUGGCUUGGGUGUCAUGUCUAUUGUUUUGUCUGGUUAUUUUAGUGUCUGUUAUUUUUAAAUAUUGUGUAUGCUGCACACCUUCCUGUAUUAAAAAGAAGAAAUCCGUUGUUCCCCGUAAUCCUGUCUCUGUCGUUCCUUACGGACCUGUGUGCUUUCAGUUUACUAUUGUGUCAUUCAAUUUCCAGAGGGACUCUAGCGCCCU